rnacentral:rRNA from 1 species
GACGAACGCUGGCGGCAUGCCUAAUACAUGCAAGUCGAACGCAGUGGGGACGGGUGAGUAACACGUGGGUAACCUCCCAUCAGAGGGGAUAACACUUGGAAUCCGGUGCUAAACCGAUACUGAUGGAUGGACCCGCGGGUCAUUAGCUAGUUGGGGAGGUAACGGAUCACAAAGGCCACGAUUCAUAGCCGACCGGGGAGGGGGAUCGGCAACACGGGAACUGAGACACGGCCCAGACUCCUACGGGAGGCAGCAGUGGGGAAUCUUCGGCAAUGGGCGAAAGUCUGACCGAGCAACGCCGCGUGAGUGAAGAAGGUUUUCGGAUCGUAAAGCACUGUCGGUGGAGAAGCGGUAUCUGACGAGAAAGCCACGGCUAACUACGUGCCAGCAGCCGCGGUAAUAC